CAGCCGCCGCGGUAAUACGAAGGGUGCAAGCGUUAAUCGGAAUUACUGGGCGUAAAGCGUGCGUAGGCGGUGAGUUAAGUCUGCUGUGAAAUCCCCGGGCUCAACCUGGGAAUGGCAGUGGAUACUGGCUCGCUAGAGUGUGUCAGAGGAUGGUGGAAUUCCCGGUGUAGCGGUGAAAUGCGUAGAGAUCUGGAGGAACAUCAGUGGCGAAGGCGGCCAUCUGGGACAACACUGACGCUGAGGCACGAAAGCGUGGGGAGCAAACAGGAUUAGAUACCCCAGUAGUCCCUGUCUCUUAUAC
rnacentral:rRNA from 1 species